GAACCGACUAAUGUUGAAAAAUUAGCGGAUGACUUGUGGCUGGGGGUGAAAGGCCAAUCAAACCGGGAGAUAGCUGGUUCUCCCCGAAAGCUAUUUAGGUAGCGCCUCGUGAACUCAUCUUCGGGGGUAGAGCACUGUUUCGGCUAGGGGGUCAUCCCGACUUACCAACCCGAUGCAAACUACGAAUACCGAAGAAUGUUAUCACGGGAGACACACGGCGGGUGCUAACGUCCGUCGUGAAGAGGGAAACAACCCAGACCGCCAGCUAAGGUCCCAAAGUCAUGGUUAAGUGGGAAACGAUGUGGGAAGGCACAGACAGCCAGGAUGUUGGCUUAGAAGCAGCCAUCAUUUAAAGAAAGCGUAAUAGCUCACUGGUCGAGUCGGCCUGCGCGGAAGAUGUAACGGGGCUAAACCAUGCACCGAAGCUGCGGCAGCGACACUAUGUGUUGUUGGGUAGGGGAGCGUUCUGUAAGCCUGCGAAGGUGUGCUGUGAGGC
rnacentral:rRNA from 1 species